UGGGGAAUCUUGCACAAUGGGGGCAACCCUGAUGCAGCGACGCCGCGUGAGCGAUGAAGCCCUUCGGGGCGUAAAGCUCUUUCGACCGGAACGAUAAUGACGGUACCGGGAGAAGAAGCUGCGGCUAACUACGUGCCAGCAGCCGCGGUAAUACGUAGGCAGCAAGCGUUGUUCGGAGUUACUGGGCGUAAAGAGUGCGUAGGCGGUUUUCUAAGUUCGGUGUGAAAUCUCCCGGCUUAACUGGGAGGGUGCGCCGAAGACUGGGAAGCUGGAGUGUGGGAAAGGCAGGCGGAAUUCCUGGUGUAGCGGUGAAAUGCGUAGAUAUCAGGAGGAACACCGGCGGUGUAGACGGCUUGCUAGGCCAUAACUGACGCUGAGGCACGAAAGCGUGGGUAGCAAACA
rnacentral:rRNA from 1 species